GGAAUAUUGGACAAUGGGCGCAAGCCUGAUCCAGCGACGCCGCGUGGGUGAAGAAGGCCUUCGGGUUGUAAAGCCCUUUAAGCCGGGAAGAAAAAACCGAAGCUAAUACCUUCGGUCUUGACGGUACCGGAAGAAUAAGCCCCGGCUAACUCUGUUCCAGCAGCCGCGGUAAUACAGAGGGUGCAAGCGUUAAUCGGAUUUACUGGGCGUAAAGCGUGUGUAGGUGGCUGCGUAAGUCGAUUGUGAAAGCCCUGGGCUCAACCUGGGAAUUGCAGUCGAUACUGCGUAGCUAGAGUUCGGUAGAGGGCGACGGAAUUCCCGGUGUAGCGGUGAAAUGCGUAGAUAUCGGGAGGAACAUCGAUGGCGAAGGCAAUCGCCUGGGCCUGAACUGACACUGAGACACGAAAGCGUGGGUAGCA
rnacentral:rRNA from 1 species